UGGCUUAGUUGGUAGUGCGUCUGCCUUGGAAGCGCUAGGCCGCGGGUUCGAUUCCCGC
rnacentral:tRNA from 1 species